rnacentral:misc_RNA from 1 species
UCCGGUUUAACACCGGCAGUCUCCCUAGAGUCCCCAACUUAAUGAUGGUAACUAAGGACAGGGGUUGCGCUCGUUGCCGGACUUAACCGAACAUUUCACAACACGAGCUGACGACAGCCAUGCAGCACCUGUCUACGAGUCCCCGAAGGUAAGGAUGCAUCUCUGCAUCUGUCUCGCGAUGUCAAGUCCUGGUAAGGUUCUUCGCUUAUCCUCGAAUUAAAGAACAUGCUCCACCGCUUGUGCGGCUCCCCGUCAAUUCCUUUAUGUUUUAGUCUUGCGACCGUACUCCACAGGCGGGAUACUUAACGCGUUAGCUUCGCUACUGAAGGGGUCGAUACCUCCAACAGCUAGUAUCCAUCGUUUACGGCGUGGACUAC